GACGAACGCUGGCGGCGUGCCUAAUACAUGCAAGUUGAGCGCUGAAGGUUGGUACUUGUACCCACUGGAUGAGCAGCGAACGGGUGAGUAACGCGUGGGGAAUCUGCCUUUGAGCGGGGGACAACAUUUGGAAACGAAUGCUAAUACCGCAUAAAAACUUUAAACACAAGUUUUAAGUUUGAAAGAUGCAAUUGCAUCACUCAAAGAUGAUCCGGCGUUUUAUUAGCUAGUUGGUGAGGUAAAGGCCCACCAAGGCGAGGAUACAUAGCCAACCUGAGAGGAGGAUCGGCAACAUUGGAACGGGAACACGGCCAAACUUCCUACGGGGGGAGCAGGAGGGGAACUUUGGACAAGGGGGGAAGGCCGGACGAAGAACGCCGGGGGGGGGGAGGAGGGUUUCGGGGUGGUAAACUCCGUUGGUAGGGAAAGAAGUUGGGGAGGGUAGAAAGCUCAUCAAGUGACGGUAACUACCCAGAAAGGGACGGCUAACUACGUG
rnacentral:rRNA from 1 species